AAAGACCAGUUCCUAAUGUUUUGUACCUACAUUGUUUCAUACCUCAUAAUGCUCUCUACUAACCCAGGAACAUCAGCGAAGAGACGUUUUCAAGAUGUGCACAUAGAGAGUCGGACGAAAAUCAAAGCCUGUGUGGCAGUGGCACAAUGUGUUACGGAUGUGGUGCAGAGCCACUACUUUCUGGGUUAACUUGCUUAGACCUGCAUUUCUUUUUCAGGCCACACUGCAUAUGGCUAUGCCAUCUACGCACUAGUUGUCAGGGAUGAGGGUGGGUAAGGCUUUCCUGUGGCAACUUUCAUAAUGAGCCAAGAGACCCAGGAAAAUGUAGCAUUCUGCUUGAGGAAGAUCAGGAAUGCUGCACAAGAAUUUGAGACCAGGUAUUUGUAUUGCAUUAAGAUUAAUGACUGUAGCUCUACAGUACAUGUAGGCUAACUACAGUGCCUAGAAAAUCUGUAGACAGUGUGUAUGUGUGCAAUAUGAGUGAUCUUUAGGUGGACAAGGACAUGAAGGAAGUGGGGGCUACAAAAUAAGUGUUCCUAAAUGCCGACGUCUUUCUGUGCUGGUAUCACGUCUAGCAGGUAAUUAUUAUUAUGAGAAUGUUUUUAAAAGAAAGCUUUUGCCAUUAAUCAUGUUCACUUUUAGGUUAGGAAAAUAAAAGUAUACACUGAAUGAUAACGUUAUCUUUUUUCAGGCUGUAAACCGGUGGAUUACAACAAAAUAAUCAGGCAUUACAGGAAUGGACCACCUGGAUGACUGCAUCACAUACUGGAAGUACCAUUAUGUUUUUCUGUCAAUACACUUUACAGGAUAAAGACUUUGAAGACACUUCAACAACACUGGAGGAAGUACUUCCGUAUCCUUUUGUCCAGGCCUACCUGAGGAAGUACUGGCUUCCUUGUGCCAUGAGAAUAGAAACACCAACAAUCUCUUAGAGAGAUUCUUCCUCCGACUGAAAUAUCAGUUCCUGAAAGGCACAGCCAACCAGAGAUUUGACGAUUUCCUGAAACUCCUAACACGUCAAGUCAAUGGAUAUUUCAGAUUGUUGUCAUAGCUCUUCUUAAAAGACAGGGCCAUUUUUACUCCUGCGAUGGUGAUGUCAAAGGCAGAGUUGCCUUCACCAUCUUCAACUGCAGGUUCAACAAGGAUCUACUGAGGAGGUUCUGUAGUGCUGCUGGAUAUGGCUGGGACUACCCAGACAAUGAGUUCAGGGAUAUCACUCUGUGUUACCCAGAGACCCUCUGUCUGCGGCUGCUUGUCAUGGUCAUACACUGUAUGACCGUGAUACCCCUUCAAAUCAGUGGAUUCAAUUAUUUCAGCCACACCCAUUGCUGAAAGG